UACGAAGGGGGCGAGCGUUGUUCGGAUUUACUGGGCGUAAAGGGCGCGCAGGCGGCUUUUCAAGUCAGGCGUGAAAGCCCCGGGCUUAACCUGGGAACUGCGUCUGGGACUGAGAGGCUUGAGAUCGGGAGUGGAGAGUGGAAUUCCCAGUGUAGAGGUGAAAUUCGUAGAUAUUGGGAAGAACACCGGUGGCGAAGGCGGCUCUCUGGACCGAUACUGACGCUGAGACACGAAAGCGUGGGUAGCAAACAGG
rnacentral:rRNA from 1 species